rnacentral:lncRNA from 1 species
CAAAAAGUAAUGAAUGUAUUUAUUAUUGCAAAUCUCUGACCAGUGACAAACUUUUUUGUAUAGGAAAAUCGCCACUAAAAAUGUCAAUGCCAAUUUAGGUUAUUGCAAACCUGAUUCUUACAUUUUUCACAUUUUUCGCAUUAAUAAAAACAUUACAAUAAUUUUUUAAUUUUCAGUAUACCUUUUAUAACACCUAUGCAUAAAAACACAACCCUGAUCAUGACAUUUUCCCUGAUUUUUGGCAGGGAAAGGGCACUGAAAGAUAAAAAAAACUAUUAACCCGAAAAUUUAUAUAUUUUUUCUCCCCACUACCACAAAUUUAAUGGAGAGACAUAUUGUUUUGGCUUAUUCGUCUGUCCGUCUCACAGUUUAUCAGUGCAACUCCUGUUGAACUAAAGAACUGAAUUUUAUGAUGAAACUUGGUAUGUAGUUGUGCAUGUUAACAGGAAAUUUUGAUCAGCUAAAUUUGUUGAAGUUAUGCCCUUUUGAACUUACUUUACCUCUGAAACUACUAAACGGAAGGAGACAUGUUUUUAGACGAAGACAAACUUUAAUUGAAGUUAUGUUUGUCAGUCCCUGAUGAAUCCAGAUGAUAACUUGAGAACCAAUCAAAAAAUGUGUAACAAUCUUAACACAGUGUUUUAAUCCUAUAAACAACAGAUCAAGUUCAGUUUUCAUCUAAAUCCAACAAAAAGUUUUAUGAUUUAUGCUAUUUUUUAAGUUUAUGCCAUCUGACCCCCCCCCCCC